UUUGAGGUGGGUUUCUUGGUUGCAACAGGUUUUUGAGAACCAACGAUGGGUAUAAUUCUGCGUAUGUCAUAGGAGUAGGGUCAAAAGAGACCUUCUUCCUCUCAAAGUUUUGUUGUUGUUGAAGAUGAUUGUUGGUAUUGUUUUUGUUGUAGGUGUUUGUUUGUUGUUGUGGUUGUUGUUUUUGGUGUUGUUGUUAUUGAAUUCGUGUCGACUGAUUGUUAGAAAAUACUGGGAUCACAGAUGAUACUUGAUGAUGGUGUUGACGGGGUGGUUGAUUUCUUCUUACAUGAGGCGUCCUUUGCCUCCCAACGGACACUGCAUUAGUCUCAGCUUCCUUCUUCUUACCAAAACUAUUACCAUACCUCUUGCUGGUAGACGCCUCCUCCUUAGAUAACCGUCCCUCUCGGAAACCUCCUUCUAGCCUCAUCCCCAUGUUUACCAUCUCAGUAAAAUCAUUGGGGGCAUUAGCGAUCAUCUGCUUAUAAUAAAAUGAGCUCAGGGUCUUGAGGAAGAUCUUAGUCAUCUCCUUCUCUUCCAAAGGAGGGGUAAUCUGAGCGGCAAGCUCUCUCCGUCUCUGAGCGUACUCCUUAAACGUCUAUUUAUCCUUCUG
rnacentral:lncRNA from 1 species